AUUGAACGCUGGCGGAAUGCUUUACACAUGCAAGUCGAGCGGCAGCGCGGGGGCAACCCUGGCGGCGAGCGGCGAACGGGUGAGUAACAUAUCGGAACGUACCCCGUCGUGGGGGAUAACACAGCGAAAGCUGUGCUAAUACCGCAUACGACCUGAGGGUGAAAGCGGGGGAUCGCAAGACCUCGCGCGAUGGGAGCGGCCGAUAUCGGAUUAGCUUGUUGGUGAGGUAAAGGCUCACCAAGGCGACGAUCCGUAGCUGGUCUGAGAGGACGACCAGCCACACUGGAACUGAGACACGGCCCAGACUCCUACGGGAGGCAGCAGUGGGGAAUUUUGGACAAUGGGCGGAAGCCUGAUCCAGCCAUGCCGCGUGAGUGAAGAAGGCCUUCGGUUGGUAAAGGUACUCUUUUCCGGGUCGGGGGAAGGGAAAUUGCACGGGUUAAGUACCCUGUGUAGAUGACGGUACCCGGAAUAAAGAAGGACACCGGCUAACUACGUGCCAGCAGCCGCGGUAAU
rnacentral:rRNA from 1 species